rnacentral:rRNA from 1 species
AUUGAACGCUGGCGGCAUGCUUUACACAUGCAAGUCGAACGGUAACAGGCCUUCGGGUGCUGACGAGUGGCGAACGGGUGAGUAAUGCAUCGGAACGUGCCCAAUCGUGGGGGAUAACGUAGCGAAAGUUACGCUAAUACCGCAUACGUCCUACGGGAGAAAGAGGGCCUCUGCUUGCACGCUCUCACUCCAGGAUGAGCCCACGUCCGAUUAGCUAGUUGGUAGGGUAAAGGCCUACCAAGGCCACGAUCGGUAGCUGGUCUGAGAGGAUGAUCAGCCACACUGGGACUGAGACACGGCCCAGACUCCUACGGGAGGCAGCAGUGGGGAAUAUUGGACAAUGGGCGCAAGCCUGAUCCAGCAAUGCCGCGUGUGUGAAGAAGGCCUCGGGUUGUAAACUGCUUUGUUACUAGAACGAAGGGACGU